UAUUACUUUUUAUUAAACACUUUCUUUUAUAUAUCCACCUCCAUCUUGACUUGGCCCCAGAAAACCCUCAACUCAUCACUCUCAUUUCUCUGAAUCAAAAUCAACCCAUCAUCUUACCGUGGAUGAAGAAUAUGAUGUCAUGGUAUUGGGCACUGGCCUCAAAUAAUGCAUCCUCAGUGGCCUCCUCUCUGUUGAUGGUCUCAUCUUAAGGUCCUGCACAUGGAUAGGAAUGACUAUUAUGGAGGAGAAUCAACAUCACUCAAUCUCAAUCAGGAGCUGAUAAUGUUCAACCAUCCAAUAACUUGAUUAGCAAAAAGGGAGAUGGAACCACUAGUAGAAUGAGGUAAGUUGAUCUUAUAGAAAAAGCCGAAAGUGAUGAAUCAGUAUUGAAAAGUAAAGGUAUGUGACUCGGAUAAAAAUUGAAAUUUAAUGCAUUUCAUAUUAAAUUUUAAGUUCUUUAUAUACAUUUUCACAUCUACAUUAUUUGGAAUUGAUAGAGAACAAAACGACUGAGGUGAUAAUAGUUGAUAAUGCCCGGUUCAGGCCAUUAAUCAAGGCUGUACAGGAGCGUAAUUGGAUAGUUUUACAAGAUUUGGUAAAUAGGACGCCUAGGGCCUUGACUAAAACUGUUUCAGAAUAUGGGGCUACCAUUUUUCACAUAAUUAAUGCAUGGGGUGCCCUCAUUUGGCUUAUAAAGAAGCCUGCAUUCAAGGUCAGUGCAAAAGAACUUUAAAUUUGAGAGGAUAUUCUGGCCGAUCCAUUAUAUUCCUGCUAUUUGUGGCAAUAGAAAGGCUAUAAAAGCUUAUCUCCUUAGGCAUGCAGAAUUUCCAAACAUGAGGAACGGAGACGGUUUUCUUCCAACAUGUAGCAGCAGAAUAUGGCUACAAGGGAAUAAUUCAAUUUCUUCUGUCAAAACAAAAGUACAUAUGGAUGACGGUAAAGGUGUUAAAACUGAUUAAAGAUCUCAUCAGUCUCCUUGUUCAAUUGAAGUUUUUCAAAACAAAACUUAUAUCGGAGAAAACAUAAUUAAAUAAUAUGGAAGUUAAUUAAAUCUGAAAUCUCAGUUACAUUGGGUAGAAUGAAGUGAAUUAUGUAGCUUACUAAAGAGUACUACAACUAAGGAAAAGUAAUACAAGCAAGGAACUCCUUUAUGUAGACAAAAAUACUACUGAGGAAACGUACUUUAUAAUGAUACGAGGUAAGAGGUAAUCUUCAUUAUAGCCAUAUCAUAAAAUUUUUUAAUUAAAUAGCUUGUACAUAGUUGGCGUUUGUCAAACUAAGCUCUAUUAUUUCUAUAAUUUGAUUUUGCUUUCUCUGCUUCUUA